rnacentral:rRNA from 1 species
GUGGAGCCUGCGGCUUAAUUUGACUCAACACGGGAAACCUCACCAGGCCCGGACACCAGAAGGAUUGACAGAUUAAGAGCUCUUUCUCGAUUUGGUGGGUGGUGGUGCAUGGCCGUUCUUAGUUGGUGGAGUGAUUUGUCUGGUUAAUUCCGGUAACGAACGAGACUCUGGCCUACUAAAUAGUCGACGGGCGUUUUGGUGCAUGGGCCCCGUUCGACACAGUCUUCUUAGAGGGAUGAGCAGCGAGUAUAGCUGCAGGAGAUUGAGCAAUAACAGGUCUGUGAUGCCCUUAGAUGUCCUGGGCCGCACGCGCGCUACACUGAAUGGGUUAGCGGGUUGUCCUUCUCCGAGAGGAGCGGGAAAUCGCGUGAAAACCAUUCGUGAUAGGGAUUGGGGCUUGCAAUUCUUUCCCAUAAACGAGGAAUUCCCAGUAAGCGCAAGUCAUCAGCUUGCGUUGAUUAAGUCCCUGCCCUUUGUACACACCGCCCGUCGCUACUACCGAUUGAAUGAUUUAGUGAGGCCUUCGGACUGGCGGUCUUGGACUGGGGCGCUGGCUUUCUCCCAGCGAUGGGGUGCCGGUGACUCGCCUCGACGAGCCGGAAAGAUGUCCAAACUUGAUCAUUUAGAGGAAGUAAAAGUCGUAACAAGGUUUCC